CCUACGGGUGGCAGCAGUGGGGAAUAUUGCACAAUGGGGGAAACCCUGAUGCAGCGACGCCGCGUGAGUGAAGAAGUAUUUCGGUGUGUAAAGCUCUAUCAGCAGGGAAGAAAAUGACGGUGCCUGUUUAAGAAGCCCCGGCUAACUCCGUGCCAGCAGCCGCGGUAAUACGGAGGGGGAAAGCGUUAUCCGGUUUUACUGGGUGUAAAGGGAGCGUAGACGGCAGCACGAGUCUGGCGUGAAAUGCCGGGGCUUAACCCCGGAACUGCUUUGGAAACUGGGCAGCUAGAGUGCAGGAGAGGGAAGUAGAAUUCCUGGUGUAGCGGUGAAAUGCGUAGAGAUUGGGAGGAACACCAGUGGCGAAGGCGGCUUCCUGGACUGUAACUGACGUUGAGGCUCGAAAGCGUGGGGAGCAAACAGGAUUAGAUACCCGGGUAGUC
rnacentral:rRNA from 1 species